AUGAACGCUGGCGGCGUGCCUAAUACAUGCAAGUCGAGCGAACAGACGAGGAGCUUGCUCCUCUGACGUUAGCGGCGGACGGGUGAGUAACACGUGGAUAACCUACCUAUAAGACUGGGAUAACUUCGGGAAACCGGAGCUAAUACCGGAUAAUAUAUUGAACCGCAUGGUUCAAUAGUGAAAGACGGUUUUGCUGUCACUUAUAGAUGGAUCCGCGCCGCAUUAGCUAGUUGGUAAGGUAACGGCUUACCAAGGCGACGAUGCGUAGCCGACCUGAGAGGGUGAUCGGCCACACUGGAACUGAGACACGGUCCAGACUCCUACGGGAGGCAGCAGCAGGGAAUCUUCCGCAAUGGGCGAAAGCCUGACGGAGCAACGCCGCGUGAGUGAUGAAGGUCUUCGGAUCGUAAAACUCUGUUAUUAGGGAAGAACAAAUGUGUAAGUAACUAUGCACGUCUUGACGGUACCUAAUCAGAAAGCCACGGCUAACUACGUG
rnacentral:rRNA from 1 species